GACAGAGGGGGCAAGCGUUGUCCGGAAUCAUUGGGCGUAAAGAGCGUGUAGGCGGCUCGGUAAGUCCGCUCUGAAAGCCCGGGGCUCAACCCCGGGAGGCGGGCGGAUACUGUCGGGCUAGAGUCCGGAAGAGGCGAGUGGAAUUCCCGGUGUAGCGGUGAAAUGCGCAGAUAUCGGGAGGAACACCAAUGGCGAAGGCAGCUCGCUGGGACGGUACUGACGCUGAGACGCGAAAGCGUGGGGAGCAAACAGG
rnacentral:rRNA from 1 species